rnacentral:rRNA from 1 species
AUGGCCGCCGCCUCGUCCUCCUCCUGCGGCGGCGCCGGCUGCGGGACCCACUGCUCCUCCUCCACCUCGUCAUCCGUAGAGGAUGCUCCGGAGGGGAUUCUGGGCCGUCUGUCCAUAUCCGGUGCCGCCGCCUCCUGCGGCAAGUGCGGCGGCGGCGCCGUCGUCGUGGUUGCCGGAGGCGUCGGUCUGUGCGGAGAGUGCUUGCGCGCCCAGCUGUUCGGGAAGUUCAAGCUCGCCGUCACAAGCAACGCCAUGGUUCGGCCAACCGACUCCGUCCUCGUCGCCUUCUCCGGCGGCCCCGCCUCCAGGGUGGCUCUGCAAUUCAUACAUGAGAUGCGGUCCAAGGCAAUCGAAAGCUGGGACGCCAGCAAUUCGCAAGCCCUACCCGUCUUCAAUGUCGGGGCGGCGUUCGUUGACGAGAGUGUUUUGUUGUCGAAGCCCGAAUGUGAAGUUGAGCAGGCAACUGAAGAUAUUAAGUCACUUGUGUCGAGUUUGUUGCCGGGAGAUAAAGCAAUGCACAUUGCCUCUCUUGAUUAUGUGUUCUCGUCGGAAUCAAAAGACGGCAAAGGCAGGCUGAGGGAGCUAGUUGGCAUGAUUACUGAUGACACUGGGAGGGAGGAUCUUCUUCAGUGCUUGCGCAUGCUUUCGUUGCAGAAGAUUGCACUGGAAAAUGGGUACACAAAGAUCAUGCUGGGAUCAUGUGCUUCUACAAUAGCAUGUCAUGUGCUAUCUGCAACAGUAAAGGGCCAAGGUUAUUCCUUACCAGCUGAUAUCCAAUAUGUUGAUACACGGUGGGAAGUGCCUGUCGUUCUUCCACUUCGUGAUUGCCUGGCCCAAGAGCUUAGCCUGCUCUGUGAAUUUGAUAGUUUAAAGACACAGGAACUUCUUGAUAGGCCUUGCAGUGGCAUCAAUGGCUUAGUCGCAUCUUUUGUUGCACGACUAAGGGAGGAGAAUCCUUCUCGUGAGCAUACUAUUGUAAGAACUGCACAAAAACUUAAGCCAUUCCCUUUUAACAAGUUCUCAGCAAAUGGCUAUCAUGAUUUCCUGCCGUCGCGGCUGCGUCCCAAGUUCCAGGAUGUUGAUAGCGAUGAGUCUGCUUCCUCUGAGGUUCUCUGCCUGAUAUGUCGAAGUCCAUUCAGUGAAUCAGAACUCCAGAAUUUUGAAAGCACAAGGCGCAAGUCUCAGAAGAAAAUUGAUCUGUAUACUGCUUAUUGCUGUCAAAGCUGUCAUUUCCAGAUUCUACCAGGAGGUAGAGACCUGUAUGACCAUUUCUUUUCACUAAUACCAAGGUUCUGGACUGAGAGAGCAGAUACUGCAUCUGCCAGCCAUAGCUCGCUAAGUUACUCCAUUGAUUUGGCCGUGUAUUAUUUUCUUGUUCAUUUUGAUAGUGCACUGAUUCAGUGA